rnacentral:rRNA from 1 species
AAGAGUGAACUAGCUAACUGAAAUCACAUAAGAUAUAAAUGUUUAAAUGUGAUAAGGUAAGGGAGAAAUUUGAUGUUACCUUACUAUUAGUGUUGUCCAAAACUGGUGCCAGAAGACUCGGUAAGACCAGAAACGCAAACGUUAAUCGUCCUAAUCAGGCGUAAAGGGUUUGUAGGCUGCUUUAACUAUGUUUAUUAAAAAUAGCUCUGAUAAAAAUCAGUUUAAUAGAUAUACUAUAAAAGCUAGAAUCAAAUUGAGGAUAAGCCGAAUAAUACUUAGAGUAGGGAUGAUAUCCAUAGAUACUAAGGGGAAUACUAAAGGUGAAAACUUUUAUCUACUAUUGAUUGACGCUGAGAAACGAAGGUGAGAAUAGGAAAUAGGAUUAGAUACCCAGAUACCUCUCACUGUCAACGAUGAAUGGUGGUUUGUUAGUUUUAAUAAAAACUGAUAACGAUGUUAACGCGAUAACCAUUCCGCCUUGCGAGUACGGUUGCAAAACUGAAACCAAAAAAAUUAGUCGGUCUCGAAGCAAACGAAGUGGAGCAUGUUAUUUAAUU